AUGCUCACUUCGGCAGCACAUAUACUAAAAUUGGAACGAUACAGAGAAGAUUAGCAUGGCCCCUGCACAAGGAUGACACACAAAUUCAUGAAGCAUUCCAUAUUUUU
rnacentral:snRNA from 1 species